CCUACGGGAGGCAGCAGUGGGGAAUAUUGCACAAUGGGGGAAACCCUGAUGCAGCGACGCCGCGUGAGUGAAGAAGUAAUUCGGUACGUAAAGCUCUAUCAGCAGGGAAGAAAAUGACGGUACCUGAGUAAGAAGCCCCGGCUAACUACGUGCCAGCAGCCGCGGUAAUACGUAGGGGGCAAGCGUUAUCCGGAUUUACUGGGUGUAAAGUGAGCGUAGACGGCAGUGCAAGUCUGGAGUGAAAGGCGGGGGCUCAACCCCCGGACUGCUCUGGAAACUGUGCGGCUGGAGUGCAGGAGAGGUAAGUGGAAUUACUAGUGUAGCGGUGAAAUGCGUAGAUAUUAGGAGGAACACCAGUGGCGAAGGCGGCUUACUGGACUGUAACUGACGUUGAGGCUCGAAAGCGUGGGGAGCAAACAGGAUUAGAUACCCUAGUAGUC
rnacentral:rRNA from 1 species